ACCUCAGCAUAGUGGUUCUAGUGUAGUAUGGCUCAUAACCAAAAGGUUGAAGGGUCGAUUCCCUGCUGCUGGGGUA